rnacentral:rRNA from 1 species
AGCAGCCGCGGUAAUUCCAGCUCCAAUAGCGUAUAUUAAAGUUGUUGCAGUUAAAAAGCUCGUAGUUGAAUUUUAGGCCUGGCCGGGCGGUCCGUCUUUGGCGAGUACUGUUCUGUGUCGGGUCUUACCUUCUGGUAAACCGGCAUGUUCCUUUAUCGUGUAUGCUGGGGAACCAGGACCAUUACCUUGAAAAAAUUAGAGUGUUUAAAGCGGGCUUUUGCUUGAAUAGAUUAGCAUGGAAUAAUAAAAUAGGACGUUGGUUCUAUUUUGUUGGUCUAGGACCACCGUAAUGAUUAAUAGGGAUAGUUGGGGGCAUUAGUAUUCAAUUGUCAGAGGUGAAAUUCUUGGAUUUAUUGAAGACUAACUAUUGCGAAAGCAUUUGCCAAGGAUGUUUUCAUUAAUCAAGAACGAGAGUUAGGGGAUCGAAGACGAUCAGAUACCGUCGUAGUCUUAACCAUAAACUAUGCCGACUAGGAAUCGGGCGACGUUAUUUUCACGACUCGC